ACCGGCGCACGGGUGAGUAACACGUAUCCAACCUGCCGAUAACUCGGGGAUAGCCUUUCGAAAGAAAGAUUAAUAUCCGAUAGCAUAUCAAGAUCGCAUGAUCUUGAUAUUAAAGAAUUUCGGUUAUCGAUGGGGAUGCGUUCCAUUAGUUAGUUGGCGGGGUAACGGCCCACCAAGACGACGAUGGAUAGGGGUUCUGAGAGGAAGGUCCCCCACAUUGGAACUGAGACACGGUCCAAACUCCUACGGGAGGCAGCAGUGAGGAAUAUUGGUCAAUGGACGAGAGUCUGAACCAGCCAAGUAGCGUGAAGGAUGACUGCCCUAUGGGUUGUAAACUUCUUUUAUAUGGGAAUAAAACAGGGUAUGCAUACCCUCUUGUAUGUACCAUAUGAAUAAGGAUCGGCUAACUCCGUGCCAGCAGCCGCGGUAAUACGGAGGAUCCGAGCGUUAUCCGGAUUUAUUGGGUUUAAAGGGAGCGUAGGUGGAUUGUUAAGUCAGUUGUGAAAGUUUGCGGCUCAACCGUAAAAUUGCAGUUGAAACUGGCAGUCUUGAGUACAGUAGAGGUGGGCGGAAUUCGUGGUGUAGCGGUGAAAUGCUUAGAUAUCACGAAGAACUCCGAUUGCGAAGGCAGCUCACUGGACUGCAACUGACACUGAUGCUCGAAAGUGUGGGUAUCAAACAGGAUUAGAUACCCUGGUAGUCCACACAGUAAACGAUGAAUACUC
rnacentral:rRNA from 1 species